UCUCUGUUCUGGAAAAGCCAUUUUUGGGGAAGUCCAAGGCUCUCAGGAUCCUCCUGGCACUGUAUCUUCCUUCCUCACCUUGGAUUUCAGGGCUGGAAACGGCAAGGAAAACCAGAGGCUGACAGUUCACAUAUCCUUAAAUAUACAAAUGGGGUGUCCUGGUGUGAAUGAUUCUGUUGAGGAUUCAUCAGCCUGCAGUGGACGAACUCUGGCUUCCAGCCCCCAGCAUUCGCAGCCAUGACCUUCAACCUGUGACAUCCCAACUGGGCACACUGUUGUGACAAUGGACAGAUGGUGUGCUUGUUUGGAUGUGGCAGUUUGUAAUGGGACCGACACCCAGCGAUGCUUCUGGCCUCCGGGUCCUGAAAUGGGCAAAAGAAACUACAGCUGGGGAAGUCCGGCUCCUUAGGAGAAGACGCCUUGCUGGCGGUGCUGGAACUCCUCCCGUUCCCAUGUUUCUUCAGGCCCUGAAUUAAAUCCUGCUUUUACAAGAAAUGCCAAGUCCUCUACAACAGAGCCCUUGGAGAGACAGCAGCAGGAGCUGUUAGACCCCUUCUCCCAGAGAAAGGCCACCAUUUUUUUACAGACUAAAAGGACUGUGACCCUAGUUUUGGAUGGCCCUGUUUUUUUGUUCAAUUGUUUUCAGGAUCCAGCUCUUCCUGAAUUCAUUUGGGUUUCCUUGCAAAGAUGGGACUUUCAGAUGAAGAAACAGGCCAGCAGGCUUAAGUGACUUGCCCAGGGCUUGGUUACACAACGAGCCUUGUGUCUGAGCUGGAUGUGAAGAUGGGUUUUCCUCACUCCUGCUCUACUUCUCAGCUGCCCUGCAUGACCUUGAUAGAAGCGUGUUUUAAUUAAGCCUAGCCAUGUGGCCAUGCAAUGCCAUCCUGGGGUGAUGGACCUGGUUACCCUCCUAU